rnacentral:rRNA from 1 species
GACAGAGGGUGCAAACGUUGUUCGGAUUUACUGGGCGUAAAGCGCGUGUAGGCGGCUUUGCAAGUCGGAUGUGAAAGCCCACGGCUCAACCGUGGAAGUGCAUCCGAAACUGCAUGGCUCGAGUCUCGGAGAGGAAGGUGGAAUGCUUGGUGUAGAGGUGAAAUUCGUAGAUAUCAAGCAGAACACCUGCGGCGAAGGCGGCCUUCUGGACGAUGACUGACGCUGAGGAGCGAAAGCUAGGGGAGCAAACGGG